UACGAUCGUGUCCCAGCCCGUGUCUGUACCCUUGUAACUCUCUUACUUGGGUUAUAUGGUUAAGUCAUACGCCCGUGUGCUAGGCCGUGUGUAGGUGCAGGGAUCACAAGGCCAAGCCACACGCCUGUGUGCCAGGUCGUAUGAUCAAAUUUGAGCAUUCUGUUUGAAAAUCUAAAGAUGUAGGGGACACAUGGCCAAACCAUA
rnacentral:lncRNA from 1 species